AUGCAGACCCCGAAGGACAGCUGCACCAUGUCGCACAUGGUGGCCGGUUGUAGCAGCAGUGACCACACUCACCAGGUCCAGGGGAAAGCCUACUAUUGCAGGGAUAUCAUGAUAACACAUUUUGAACCUUCUGUCUCCUUUGAGGGCCUUUGCAGUGAGGCUCGAGACUUGUGUUCUUUUGACAAUGAACAACUUUUCACCAUGAAGUGCAUAAAUGAGAAAAGAGAUCCCUGUACAGUAUCAUCUCAGUUGGAGUCAGAAGCGAUCUUUAGGCUUUACAAGCACUAAACAAGGAUUCUGAACUCUUGAUCCAUGUAUUCCCUUGUGCACCAGAAUGUCCAAGAAUGCCUGUCCAGGAGAAGAUAAAUCCAUCUAUCACCGAGGUGCAUGUCGCUAGAGAAAGUUUCAUUGUGCAAAUGGCCACACUUUCCAAGCCAAGUGAUUCAAUAGGUGAGCUCACUGUGCCAUCUGCACAGACUGAAUAUAGGGACUCGAAUGCAGGGUAUGUAUGUGCAUCAACUGCAAACUCCUGGUCCAUAAGAAGUGUCAUAAACUUGUCACAAUUCAAUGUGGGUGGCAUUCUUUGCCACCGGAACCAAUGGUGCCCAUGGAUCAUUCACUUAUUAAGACCUUGCACAGACAAGUCACGAGAGCUUAGACCAAGUUGGUGAGGUAAAGGAGGCAAUGAACACGAGGGAAAGUGGCAAAGCUUCAUCCAGUUUAGGUUUUCAGAGUUUUGAUUUGCUCUGGGUAAUAGGAAGAGGAAGUUAUGCCAAAGUACUGUUGGUUCGACUAAAAAAGGCAGAUCGCAUUUAUGCAAUGAAAGUUGUGAAGAAAGAGCUUGCCAAUGAUGAUGAGGGUAUUGGUUGGGUGCAGACAGAGAAGCAUGUAUUUGAGAGAGCAUCCAAUCAUCCUUUUCUUGUCAGGAUGCAUUCUUGUUUUCACACAGAAAACAGAUUGCUUUGUUAUAGGGUAUGUAAGUGGAGGAGAUCUAACAUUUCAUAUGCAAUGACAGAUAAAACUUCUUGAAGAACAUGCUAGGUUUCACUCUGUAGAAAUCAGUCUAGCAUUAAAUAUCUUCAUGAGCGAGGAAUAACUUAAAGAGACUUAAAAUUAGGCAAUAUAUCACUGAACUCCAAAGGGUACAUUAAGCUCACCGACUAUGGCAUGUGUAAGGAAGGAUUACUGCCAGGAGAUACAACCAGCACCUUGUGUGGCACUCCUAAUUACAAUGCUCCUGAGAUUUUAAGAGGCAAAGAUUAUGGUUUCAGUGUUGACUGGUGGGCUCUUGAAGUGAUGAAAUGAUGGCAGGAAGGUCUCCACUUGAUAUUGUUGGGAGCUCUGAUAACCCUGAUCAGAACUCAGAGGAUUAUCUCUUCCAAGUUAUUUUGGAAAAAACAAAUUCACAUACCACAUUUUCUCUCUGUAAAAGCUGCAAGUGCCCUGAAAAAUUUUCUCAACAAGGAUUCAAAGGAACUAUGGGGCUGUCACCCACAAACAGGAUUUUCUGAUGAUUCAAGGACACCCAUUCUUCUAAAAUGUUGAUUGAGAGAAGAUGGAGCAAAAGCAGGUGGUACCUCCCUUUAAGCCAAAUAUUUCUGGGGAAUAUAGUUUAGAAAACUUUGAUGCUCAGUUUACUAAUGAACCUGUUCAGUUCACUCCAGAUGGCGAUGACACUGUAAAGAAGAUUGAUCAAUCCAAAUUUGAAGGUUUUGAGUAUAUCAAUCCUCUUUUUAUGUCUGCAGAAGAGUGUGUCUGAUCCUCAUUUUCCAACUAUGUAUUCUGCUCAUGUUGUGAUGCAUGAAAAAUCUUGUUACCAGCCUGGAUACAAUUUUUUAUUUUAUAU